CCCCACCUUUCUUCUCCCUUCAACGAAGUAAAAACAAUAGCCAACAUCAAUAAUUGAACUCAGCCAUACUAGCAACAAUGAUAAUCAAACAAACAACAACAAACCACCGACAAUACAACAACCAAACGAAGCAACUGAUAAUACCAAACAAACCCCGAGCAACCCAACCGAUACCAGUUGCCCGUGCCCUCAAAUCCAACUGUCCAACGAUACCUCAUCUUCUUUUCAAUUUGAUUCGAAUUCGUACAGAAUAGUAUAAUUUACAACUCACACAACAAACCUUAUCCCAUUCUUGAAUUUGAAUUUCUCCAAUAAAUUUCCAAAAAUGCCCUUAAAUUUUUCUAUCCCACAUGCCAAUUCGUCAUGAAUUUAGGAUUUUGGGUUCUAUAUAAACCCCUCAUUCACUCUUCAAAGGGGUGGUUAGAUAAAGAGGGAUUAAUUAGCUGAGAACCCGAAUAAGAAAGGGAUUCUUCUUAGUUAAAAUUUCUAUGUCGAAUCCUUGUAAGACCGUUUGGCGUAGGAUUUCGUCUAAAGGAAUUUUCUUUGAAGUUUUUCAGUGGUGCGAAGAGACAAUGCUCGUUGCCCAAAGUUUGCUGCUCCAGAAAAGAGGCGCUAUUCAUCCAAAAGGUAUUCAGAAAUUUCAAGAAGUUCAAGAUCGAAGGACCCCAAGGAAGUUUUAAUUUAGAUUUUCUUCAUAUGACUAAUAGUAUCAUUUAUUCCCCCUUUUCCUCAUUUGUAUCCCCAUUUGAUCUAUUCAUGAAAUUUGUAUAAUAUAUUUUGAGGACAAUGGGACGUCUUACAAACGACAUCUAUAUCCUUCAAAUGUUAGGCUUACUUUUGGCUUGAAAUGUCCCAUGUAUGUUAGGACGCGUUAAACAUUAUUUAUGUGCUAAAGUAUUUCAUUAUUUUGCAUUA